GUCUAGGGUAGCUUAGUGGACAUGGCAUCUGUCAUCUGUCCGGUAAGCGGAAAACUGUGGGUUCGAUUUCCAUCCCUGGACA